UACGGAGGGGGCUAGCGUUGUUCGGAAUUACUGGGCGUAAAGCGCACGUAGGCGGCUUUGUAAGUUAGAGGUGAAAGCCCGGGGCUCAACUCCGGAAUUGCCUUUAAGACUGCAUCGCUAGAAUUGUGGAGAGGUAAGUGGAAUUCCGAGUGUAGAGGUGAAAUUCGUAGAUAUUCGGAAGAACACCAGUGGCGAAGGCGACUUACUGGACACAUAUUUGAC
rnacentral:rRNA from 1 species